UACGAAGGGUGCAAACGUUGCUCGGAAUUAUUGGGCGUAAAGCGCACGUAGGCGGCUUAGCAAGUCGGAAGUGAAAUCCCUCGGCUCAACCAAGGAAGUGCUUUCGAACCUGCUGAGCUUGAGUACUUAAGAGGAUCGCGGAAUUCCCGGUGUAGAGGUGAAAUUCGUAGAUAUCGGGAGGAACACCAGUGGCGAAGGCGGCGAUCUGGGAAGAUACUGACGCUGAGGUGCGAAAGCGUGGGGAGCAAACAGG
rnacentral:rRNA from 1 species